rnacentral:rRNA from 1 species
AAAUUGAAGAGUUUGAUCAUGGCUCAGAUUGAACGCUGGCGGCAGGCUUAACACAUGCAAGUCGAACGGUAGCAGGAAGAAGCUUGUUUCUUUGCUGACGAGUGGCGGACGGGUGAGUAAUGCUUGGGAAUCUGGCUUAUGGAGGGGGAUAACUACGGGAAACUGUAGCUAAUACCGCGUAGUAUCGGGAGAUGAAAGACUGGGACCGCAAGGC